GAAGCGGCAACAGCUCAAAUUUGAAAUCUGACCCCGUGGUCCGAGUUGUAAUUUGUAGAGAGUGUUUCGGGUGAGACCACGGUCUAAGUCCAUUGGAACAUGGCGUCAUAGAGGGUGAGAAUCCCGUAUGUGACUGUGGCUCGAACCCAUGUGAAGCCUCUUCGACGAGUCGAGUUGUUUGGGAAUGCAGCUCAAAAUGGGUGGUAAAUUUCAUCUAAAGCUAAAUACUGGCUGGAGACCGAUAGCGCACAAGUAGAGUGAUCGAAAGAUGAAAAGCACUUUGGAAAGAGAGUCAAACAGUACGUGAAAUUGUUGAAAGGGAAGCGCUUGCAACCAGACCUGUCCGUAGGUGAUCAGCCGCUGUUCUCAGUGGUGCACUCGCUCUGCGAUCAGGCCAGCAUCGGUUUCGGCGGUCGGAUAAAGGCCUUGGGAAUGUAGCUUCCCUUCGGGGGAGUCUUAUAGCCCUCGGUGCAAUGCGGCCAGCCGGGACCGAGGACCGCGCUUCGGCUAGGAUGCUGGCGUAAUGGUUGUAA
rnacentral:rRNA from 1 species